GGAAAAAUUACCACCACUCCUGAUUCACAACUCUGGCAGCUACAGAUUGACACAAUCUGUACUGGCCCACAGCCACAGAAGAAUAUUGGACUUCCCUGCUGCAGGUGGCAUGGCUUAUGUUUAAAGGCACAAAGACUCACAUGCUCCACCAUUAAUCAUCUGAGAACUUUGUACAAAAUGGAAGUAGGUUUUUCUGUUUAUUCACUGUUUAUCUUGUUUACAAAAGUACAGCAAGCAAAGAUAGUAA